GUGCCAGCCGCCGCGGUAAUACGUAGGGUGCGAGCGUUGUCCGGAAUUAUUGGGCGUAAAGGGCUCGUAGGCGGUUUGUCGCGUCGGGAGUGAAAACACUGGGCUUAACCGAGUGCUUGCUUUCGAUACGGGCAGACUUGAGGCAUUGAGGGGAGAACGGAAUUCCUGGUGUAGCGGUGAAAUGCGCAGAUAUCAGGAGGAACACCGGUGGCGAAGGCGGUUCUCUGGCAAUGUUCUGACGCUGAGGAGCGAAAGUGUGGGGAGCGAACAGGAUUAGAUACCCUCGUAGUCC
rnacentral:rRNA from 1 species